rnacentral:tRNA from 1 species
UGGAGAGGUGGCAGAGUGGUCGAUUGCGCUCGACUUGAAAUCGAGUGUGCCGCAAGGCACCGUGGGUUCGAAUCCCACCCUCUCCGU